GAUGAAGAACGCAGCGAAAUGCGAUAAGUAAUGCGAAUUGCAGAAUUUCCGUGAGUCAUCGAAUCUUUGAACGCACAUUGCGCCCAUUGGUAUUCCGAUGGGCAUGCCUGUUCGAGCGUCAUUAUCUUCCCUCAAACCUCGCGUUUGGUGUUGGGCCGUGCUGGUUCCUGCGUGACCAACUGGCCUCAAAGACAAUGACGGCGUCCGUGGGACCCUCGAUGCAACGAGCUUCUCAGGAGCACGCGUCGAGUUUCAAGGACCUUCCGGGCCGGUAUCUCCUCAUGUUAUUACAAGGUUGACCUCGGAUCAGGUAGGGAUACCCGCUGAACUUAAGCAUAUCAAUAAGCGGAGGA
rnacentral:misc_RNA from 1 species